UGGGGAAUAUUGCACAAUGGGGGAAACCCUGAUGCAGCGACGCCGCGUGAACGAAGAAGGUAUUCGUAUCGUAAAGUUCUGUCCUAUGGGAAGAUAAUGACAGUACCAUAGAAGAAAGCUCCGGCUAAAUACGUGCCAGCAGCCGCGGUAAUACGUAUGGAGCGAGCGUUGUCCGGAAUCAUUGGGCGUAAAGGGUACGCAGGCGGUUUAAUAAGUCGAAUGUUAAAGAUCGGGGCUCAACCCCGUAAAGCAUUGGAAACUGAUAAACUUGAGUAGUGGAGAGGAAAGUGGAAUUCCUAGUGUAGUGGUGAAAUACGUAGAUAUUAGGAGGAAUACCAGUAGCGAAGGCGACUUUCUGGACACAAACUGACGCUGAGGUACGAAAGCGUGGGGAGCAAACAGG
rnacentral:rRNA from 1 species